AGACUCUUACCACGGACACUGGCCUUUUAAAAAAGCAGAUGAGAAAUGUUUGACAUUUCUCCUGCUCCUCCGUCGACUGAGACUUGUACGACCAGAGGAAACGAAUAGAGUCUGUGCUUUGCAACUGGAUCCAGAAUAGAAGUGAUUCACCUGAGCUCGAUCUUACCCGACAGUGAAGAUCUCCUGUAGCUCAUUAACUCCCCACAUCCGGAUUCUCACAUGGCCACUUACACCUCUGCCACCCGUCCUGCACUGUCGACCCGGCGAGCUCGCUCCUUGCAGCCCAGCGUUUUAUUAUUCUUGACAGAGUUCAGCAAACACAUCUGGUCAGAGGAUAAGAGGGGAUGGAGGGACAGUGCCAAGAGGCAAAGAGGUGAGCGAGGAGCCAAUGGAGAGGGGUGUGGGGAGGCGGAGGACGAGGACCUACGACCAUCCAUCAUAACUGCCCCUCGUGAGUUAUGCCAGCUCCCUCAAACUCAGGCCAACCCCACUUUCCCUGACCUUUGACCCCUGUGGGGCUAAGCCAUGAGGUCCAUUAGAGCUCUGUGAUUGAGCGGAUCAGGCUUUAAAUGGUUUUAAUUUCUUUAAUUAGUGAUGUUUGCUGAUAUUUUUAACAAGUAAUUAUAGUUCCCAGCAAUGAGACACAGUUGUGCGCUGAAACGACACAAAGUUUGGUGAUGACGACCUCGCUGCCGUGUGAGUUAUGAUUCUGGUCCAUCAGGAGCAAAGGUGGAGGUUCCAUGAUGACGUUACACAGCCACAAAAGUUCCUCGGGUGGAGGUGGAUGGAUGGAUUGUCAGCGUGUGUGACGACCUGGGAUUUGGUGAUGGGUGACCGCUGUUUGUUUUGUCCGUUUGCCUCUAACAGUCAAUGCUGGACUCUGCUUUAA